GGGUCAGUAGGUUGGUCGUGCCACCGGUACGUACUGUUCUCACUGAUUACUCCUUCCUGAAGAACCGUAAUGCCAUUAAUUUGGUGUUGCGGGGAAACAGGACUGUUACUUUGAAAAAAUUAGAGUGUUUAAAGCAAGCUAACGCUUGAAUAAAUUAGCAUGGAAUAAUGAAAUAGGACGAUCGAUCCUAUUUUGUUGGUUUCUAGGAUUGACGUA
rnacentral:rRNA from 1 species